rnacentral:misc_RNA from 1 species
UCGUAACAAGGUCUCCGUUGGUGAACCAGCGGAGGGAUCAUUACCGAGUUUACAACUCCCAAACCCCUGUGAACAUACCACUUGUUGCCUCGGCGGAUCAGCCCGCUCCCGGUAAAACGGGACGGCCCGCCAGAGGACCCCUAAACUCUGUUUCUAUAUGUAACUUCUGAGUAAAACCAUAAAUAAAUCAAAACUUUCAACAACGGAUCUCUUGGUUCUGGCAUCGAUGAAGAACGCAGCAAAAUGCGAUAAGUAAUGUGAAUUGCAGAAUUCAGUGAAUCAUCGAAUCUUUGAACGCACAUUGCGCCCGCCAGUAUUCUGGCGGGCAUGCCUGUUCGAGCGUCAUUUCAACCCUCAAGCACAGCUUGGUGUUGGGACUCGCGUUAAUUCGCGUUCCUCAAAUUGAUUGGCGGUCACGUCGAGCUUCCAUAGCGUAGUAGUAAAACCCUCGUUACUGGUAAUCGUCGCGGCCACGCCGUUAAACCCCAACUUCUGAAUGUUGACCUCGGAUCAGGUAGGAAUACCCGCUGAACCUAAGCAUAUC